UUACCUGGGUUGAUCCUGCCAGUGAUCAUAUGCUUGUCUCAAAGCUUAAGCCAUGCAAGUCUAAGUUCAGGCUCGUUCCUUUCGGGGAGCGAGUCGAAACUGCGAACGGCUCAUUAGUCAGAUAACGUUCCUUGGCAAAUAGCGGGUCGAUUUGAAUGGAUAACUGUGGUAAUUCUAGAGCUAAUACAUGCAACAUCACCGUGGAGCCCCUUCGGGGGACGCGGCAUUUAUUCUCUAAACCAAGAUCGCCCUAGCCCGCCGAACUGCCAAAAGACAGCGAGGGGGUGAAAACGACAAGUGUUGAAUUCCGAAUAACUGUGCCGAUCGCGGGGUCCACCCGGGCCCCCGACGACUUUGCCAUGAAGUGUCUGUCCCAUCAAUUGGCGAUGGUCGGCGACCUGCCUACCACGGUGAUGACGGGUAACGGGGAAUCAGGGUUCGAUUCCGGAGAGGGAGCCUGCGAAACGGCUACCACCUCCAAGGAGGGCAGCAGGCGCGCAACUUACCCAAUCCCGACACGGGGAGGUAGUGACGAAAAAUAACGUGGCGGGGCCCUUACGUGGUCGCCGCGGGCGGAAUGAGCGCAAUGUAAAAGAUUGUGCGAGGAGCUAUUGGAGGGCAAGCCUGGUGCCAGCAGCCGCGGUAAUUCCAGCUCCAAUAGCCUAUAUCGGAGCUGCUGCGGUUAAAAAGCUCGUAGUUGGAUCUCGGAGGCGGCACGGUCGGACGCGAUACGCUGCGGGUCUGACCGGCGAUAUCUUGGCCGCCCCUAACCAGCGUGCGGGGCGAGGUGGGCCUCGCGGUCCAGCCUUGUACUUCGGUCUCUCUCUGGGCUGCUCGCUGCUCCUUGCGGGUGACGGGUACGCGUGGAGAGGCCAGGCCGAUCCCGCCGCAUCUUGUGUCUACCUUGAAAAAAUUAGAGUGCUAAAGGCAGGCUAAACCCCGAGCCUGAAUAUUUCGUGCAUGGAAUAAGCGGGGAGGCUCUUACCGGAGGGUGGUCCGGCCGACAGGCGACGUCGCUUUCGCUGUCGGUCUCGCCGGAGAGCUAGGAUUCGAGAGGAACGGUGGGGGGCGAGCGUACCAGGCGGGGAGAGGUGAAAUUUUGUGAUCCUCCCGGGACGACUCGAAGCGAAAGCGCUGGCCCCGGACGUCUUCCUUAAUCCAGAACGAAGGUUGGUGGAGCAAAGACGAUCAGAUACCGUCGUAGUACCGACGGUAAACGCUGCCGACCGGGCCGCGGACGAGGCUCGAGAACAGCGGUUAUGGACCCGUCCGUGGCGGCUUCGGGCAACCUGAGAGUUUACGGGUUCCGGGGGUAGUAUGGUCGCAAGGCUGAAACUUGAAGGAAUUGACGGAAGGGCACCACAAGGAGUGGAGCCUGCGGCUUAAUUUGACUCAACACGGGGCAACUUACCUGGUCCAGACAUCGUCAGGAUUGACAGAUGCUCGUAAAGUUCUUUCUCGAUUCGGUGGGUGGUGGUGCAUGGCCGUUCGUGGCUGGUGAAGUGAAAAGUCUGGUUUAUUCCGCUAACGGGCGAGGCCUCGCCUUUAAAUAGUCGGCUUGUGGUUCGCCAAUCCGGCCGGCUGGUGCCCUUCUUUACGGGGGGGCGGCAGCCGUGCCACCGGGCGAAUAUCGAGCGUGCCGAAGCGGUCGUCGCAACUUCUUAGGGGGAUCCCGAGCAAGCUUAAGCUAGGUGAGAGAGAUCAAUAACAGGUCAGUGAUGCCCUUAGAUGUCCGGGGCCGCACGCGCGCUACACUGAAGACGGUAGCGCGAGUACCUACGGUCUUGGUUUGGUCAGGCCGGGAACCCGCCCCGAGAGGGCAAGGUGUCGGCGGCGCGGCUCCGGCCGUUCCCCGCCGCGCCAGUCGCGGGUUAACCGUGCCAAUCGUCUUCGUGCUGGGGAUCGGGGCUUGCAACUCAGCCCCGUCAACGAGGAAUUCCGAGUAGGCGCCAGUCAUCAGCUGGCGCCGAUUAAGUCCCUGCCUUUUGUACACACCGCCCGUCGCUACCUCCGAUAGAAUGGCUAAGCGAGGAGGUUGGACCGGACACGCCUCGAGCGAGACCGGAAAGGCGUUCGAGCUUAAUCAUUUAGAGGAAGUAAAAGUCGUAACAAGGUUUCCGUAGGUGAACCUGCGGAAGGAUCAUUAA
rnacentral:rRNA from 1 species